AUUGAACGCUGGCGGCAUGCUUUACACAUGCCAGUCGAACGGCAGCGCGGGCUUCGGCCUGGCGGCGAGUGGCGAACGGGUGAGUAAUGCAUCGGAACGUGCCCAGUAGUGGGGGAUAGCAAGGCGAAAGCCGGAUUAAUACCGCAUACGACCUGCGGGUGAAAGCGGGGGGCCGAAAGGCCUUGCGCGAUUGGGGGGGCCGAUGUCGGAUUAGCUAGUUGGUGGGGUAAAGGCUUACCAAGGGGAGGAUCCGUGGCUGGUCUGAGAGGGAGACCGGCCACACUGGGACUGAGACACGGCCCAGACUCCUACGGGAGGCAGCAGUGGGGAAUUGUGGACAAUGGGGGCAACCCUGAUCCAGCCAUGCCGCGUGCGGGAAGAAGGCCUUCGGGUUGUAAACCGCUUUUGUUCGGGAAGAAAUCCUCUGGGCUAAUACCCCGGGGGGAUGACGGUACCGGAAGAAUAAGCACCGGCUAACUACGUG
rnacentral:rRNA from 1 species